UCUAAUGUACUUGUCCUCUUGCUCAGUUGUGCACUGGGGCCUCCCACUCCUUUUUCUAUUCUGGUUAGAGCCAGCUUGCGCUGUUCUGUAAAGGGAGUAGUACAGUAUACUUCCAUACAUAAAAAAAAAAAGUACCAGUAAUCUUCAGAUGAGGCUUGUAGGCAUCCUAGAGUAAAACGGAGAAGACCAUCGUGCGCAUGAGUCUCAUCUUUCCACAGAGGGUAGUUUGUAGGCCAAAUCGUUCGGAUGCUACAUACGAUUUUGUGAGAUGUCUCAUGGUCUGACAAACACCGUUCUAGCUCUGCCUCCUUUCACCACAGAGGGUGAUAUCGCCGAUUUUUUUUAAUUUUUUUUAAAUUUAUUUUAUUAUUAUUUUUUUAAUUAUGUUAAUUCAGUGGGUGUAGAAAGUCACCACCCCCUUUCAAAAUGUUCACCUUUUGUUGCCUUACAGCCUGAAAUGAAAACACAUAAAAUUAGACUUUUUACUGCUUUAUUUACACACAGUAAACCCCAAUAUCCAAGUGAAUAAAAAAAAAAAAAAAUGAGAUCAAUUGUAGUGACUUGGAUUAGUUCAGAAUAAAAGCAGUUGUUCAUAGAGGCGUAGUAGUGCAAUUCAAAGCAAAGAAUCCACUACGGGUGGAAAGGUACUUUCAAAGGAUCUACGAGAUAAAGUUGUGGAAAGGCACAAAUCAGGGGAUGGAUAUAAAACAAUUUAAAAGGCUUUGUCUAUCUAUUGGAGCGCAGUUAAGACCAUUAUUGAGAAGUGGAAGGCGUAUGACACCACCCAGACCCUGCAUAGAUCAGGCCGUCCCUCCAAACUGGAUGACCGGGCAAGGAGGAGACUGAUCAGAGACUUGUUGGCUUGUUGUCCUGUUCACAAAAAAAUCUAAACCUGUUCGCUUUUUCAUUAUGGGGUUUUGUGUGUAGGUUGUCUAGUCCUGUGGGUGCGCUCAACGUCAAUUUUCCUGUGGUCCAUCUUCAGUUUCUCAGUGAUCAUUUCCCUCACUUUGUCCUCAGACUCCGUCCAGGUCUUAAUUCCGUCCAGGUCUGCAAUUCCAACCACGACAAUGUUGCCCUGCCUUGAUUGUUCCUCUAGAUAAUCCGAUUUUUCCUUCAUUGUUAUCAUGGGUUCACAUACAGAACUAAUGUCCUCUCCCAGUGCCUUACAGAUUGUCAUCUUGCUUUUUUCCUGUUUUUAAAGUCAUCAAGCUGAACCUGGGAGAACUGCGAACUGUGCUUAAGGUCCUGGACCUCUCUGGUCAGAUCAUCAUUUUAUUAGUUGACUCCACCAGUGUUUGGACACUACACUUGAAACAAUUUUAUUGUUGUAACAGCUGCUUGUACAACUCUUUUUGUUUGUUUAAAAGAUCCUUCACCUGUGAUGGAGUGACACCACUGUCCUCAACCGUACUCCUACUGGCUUUAGUCUUUUUUUUUUAAUGGUAGCUCUUUCUCUCGCUGUCUUUCCUUUUCUCUCUUUCUCUCUCUCUCUCUCUCUUCUCUAUGUGGUAGUGUUUAAAUGUCAGUGCGACGGAUUCAGUCCAGUUCUGUGUUUUGUGGAGUGGUUCUGGUCUUUCCUGGACAGACAAACGCUUUCUAACCUACCACAGAGAUGGCACGCUCAGUCAAUGCUACUACGCGCGUGAGUUUGUUUUAUUUAUGACGGCGCAAGACAUCUUUCCAACACGCGUGCCGUCAACCUCCCGUGGCCUUCGCCAGCACACUCCUUUUCCAUGGUGACGUGGCAGAUGUUUCUGCACCGUAGCAAUGGUAAUGAUUAGUCACGGCGGCUGGCCGAUGGUAUUUAAUCCUUCAUAUUCACGGCACUGCCUGGGCUUCAGAUGGUAGACAGAUACAGUAAACGGAGCCAGGAGAUAAAGCAUUUUUACCCUGGGGGGCAUUCUGGGAUAUGUCUCCUCCAUCUUAAGAGGGGUUGUGUGUGUGAUAGACCACUAGUGAGCUGGUGUGAAUCCAAGGUCCUCCAUGUUUUCACAGCUGUAGUGUUUGUUUGGCCUGGCCUGGAAUAGAUGGACAGUUUGGUCUACAGUGGAGACUUCAGUCUUGCUUCUGGACAUUUGGAGAGGCCAAUUUGUUCUAAGCUAGACUAGAGAAAUUAGCUUUAAGAUGGGGGGCAGUGUCUUACUGAGGCUCAACUAGGUGCUGUGACUCUCCCUCUCUUUCUCAUGCGUUCUCGCUCUCUCUCAGCAUUUUAGGAUUGUUGAUAGUAUCUGUUAUUGUGUGGGUCAUGUUUCCCAAACACAUUUAUAAAAGGAACAGGAACAAAGGUGAGGGGGAAGCUGUGGUUCUCAACUGGUUUUGCCUCAGGACCCAAAUUUGAACCAGGUUGUCUCAGUCGUGACCCAAUUUUCACAUCGCCAAAAUGCAAUCUGGAAAACUAUUUUUAAUGUUAUAGUAAAUGUAACAAUUAUAUACCAAGGCAACAACAUUCCCACCUUUUUUUCAUUGUCAAUCAUUUUGCCCAUAUUCUUGAUGAAGAAUGUUAAUAAGCUCACUGUUUUGAACCCACAAAAUAAACCACUUAAAAAAAUAAAAUACUGUAGCUCUGCUAAUAGCUUUAUGUUGAAAAUAACGGGAUUGAGGAAAUGUAGUUCAGAGAUAAAAAUUAUUGAAUCACUUUCUACCUGGUUUAGUCAUUUUAAAUUCAUACUGGGGUAUUUUUCGUCAUCAAAACAAUGAUUUGUUUAUUUUUUUUCAUUUUUUUUCCCUCACACGCAACCAAUUCAAAACCUCCUGUCGCGAGCCACCAGUUGAGAAUCGUUGGCGUAAACUGUCAAACUCAAGCGUCGCAUCCUCUUAAAGGACAACUCCGCCACUUUUCAACCUCAUUCAUUAUCUCGAGCACCAAACCAGUGUCUACGUAUGUGAAAAUGGCACGUUUCUAUGAUCUGAGGUUAUUAAGAUAAGAAGGUUCUAAAAAAAUGCUUAUAUGUAACUCACAGGGUAGGAUUAAAAGUAAUACAAAAAAUAGAUUUUUCAAAACAUGCAACGAGUUUCUAGCCAGAGGGAGGCUAUUUCUUUGCUCUCCACAUCACCGUGUAUCUCAUAGUGUUUGAAAAUGUAAUUGGUUAGACAUUUUUUUUGCUAUAUUUUUUUUCCGACAAAACAUAGAAAUGCGUUAAUUUCACAUAUGUAGACACCGGUUUGGUGCUCGAGAUAAUGAAUGUGAGGUUGAAAAGUGCUGGAGUUGCCCUUUUGAGUAGUACAUACAUACUCCAUGAACUUAAAAAAAAAAGUAGACCCAACCCUGGGGUGACAAACCCAACAAGUUCAGGCCCCAUCAACCCAUCUGACCCUAUUGCCCCAACCUUUGGGCUUACCCACCUGCACCCUACUGUAUUGCAGUGCAUUACCAAUUUAACCACUGCAGUACCAACCCAAUGACUGUUCCAUCGGACCCACUCAGUAACAACCCUGAGUCUAGAGUGCAACCUGAGGACAGAGCUGACCUCACUGCAGUAAAACCCUAGUGAAAGUUACUCAGGGAGGGCAGUGACCAAACCGCUGUGCGGUGCUGAGCUGGGCUGUGGCAUGUGGAAGAGAGGGGGGGCAGUUAUUUAAGGUGUAAGGCAUUUGUGUAAUCGUUAAAGUUCCACUCGGGUUCCUGGUUGAUGGGGGAACUUAAUUUAGACAGGACACUUCCUGUUUGCAAUGCACCCAUUUCCCAGAAAAGCGUCCGUGAACGGAGACGCUGUUUCCCAAAGUCCUAAUUACAUAGGGCUGUGUCAGUGACCCAAAUAGCAGCUUUUCCUCCUGACAACUGGGUUGGCUGCCGGGCCUCGCGGCCUGGCGUUGUGGCGGGUUUAAGAGCCUUAAGGAGGGAAAGCUGCUGCUGAUGCUACUACUGCUACUGUUGUUGUUGUUGAUCUGAUGCCAUUGACUGGAACCCCAGGGGGAUUAUGUAACGGGCUAAGAAGAGAGCAGGGCAAUCAAGGGAGUAAGACAUUAGAAAAUACUCAACAUUGACCUUGUGAAUGUGGAAUAUACAAUGUUAACCGCAGGACAACUUAAGUAAGGGUCAAGAUUCAGGGACAGUGCAGACCAGGAAAAGUCCAUAGGUGCUGUAGUGUAGAAGUCAAACCAUUCGUGCAUCCAUCCCAGAGAAAGAGCGGAAUACAUACUAUUCAUUAAAUUAAACUAGGAUGGUGAAAUAUGUGUCAAACUUAGCAUAUUACAGUGAGACGUGACAUUUGAAAUGUAUUACUUGAAAAAACAAAAACGAUUUAAAAUCAUGUUGGCCUGGGGUGAUGGGUGGCGGUAGGUUGUUGGUGAGUGUUAUUUUGUAGUGUGUGUGUCUGCUUUAUAAAUAUGUGACAAGGAGAGCAGACUGGAGUCCUUAUUCAGGGCAGUGCUGAAAGAUGCCUGUCCAAAUCUCCGCCUUUUUACAGGGGAUAAGUCCAGCCAGGUUGUGUGAUGAAACUCAAGAGGGUAUGUGGAACUCUCAAAGUAUUCCAUUCUCACUCCCACAGAUCUAUGUCCCUCCCUGUGCCCCCUGUGCCACCCCAGCCUGGCACGGCGCCUGGGCCCAGCCUGUGGUAGUGAUGCCACAGUGUAAUGACAGAGCACAAAGGCCUCAGCCAGCUCCACCCUGCUCUACCUCACCUGGAACACCCCCACAUGUUGACUAACUACAGAAACACACGUGGGCUGUGUUGAUGUUCUAGAAGUUAAUUACAUCACCACAUUUGGAGUGGGUCAGUCAGCAGCUCCUCCAGUCUCGUCACCGAGAGGCCUUUAAGCUGGCCUACGUGGGCUUUGUACAUCUCACCGACAUGCUGUGCUGGCCCUGUUGUCAUCUGAGCCGAAGUCAUCCAGCUGCAGCUUGCUGAAGAUGACCAUGUGAGAGCUGACGGAUCUGGCCAUGCCUUCUCCUGACAGAGCCACCGACCAGACCACUGUCCCUUAGGGUUCAUGCUCUCAACAUCCUGAGGUGCUCUUCACAGAGACACUCAUCUGGGGGGAGAACAUCGUUCGUUACUGAGGGAAUGCACGCAGCAGUCCUGGGUUUCACCUCCCCCGUCUGGGCUGUGAGGAUCUCCUCCUCCCUACUAUUCAACAUCCUCAUCAUGAGGAUCUUUGGAAUGAAGAAAGGAAAGGACAAACACUCCAAAAAGAACAGGUGAUGUUGUUCUGCGGUCUACCAGACCCUUGAGACCCCGUUUGUCAUGGUAACCCAGGUCCACCUCCACCCUCCAGACCCUUUCGGAGGACCUGCCUCUGGAACCUGGAGCUAGAACCCAGGAGAACCACAUCCACGGAACCCUAAUACAGGUCUGGAACCCAUUCCAUUCUCUAAUACUGGCAACACACACUGAAAAAGAAUGCGCUGUCUCAACGCACACACAUUUGCACACGCACACACAUUCUGACACAGUAUGCACAGUCUCAACACGCACUCGCAGACACAGCUCUCAACACACCCUGUCAACACACAGUGCACAUCCCAUCAACCCCAUUAUCACACUGUGACAGUCCAGGGUAAAUACAGAUUUAGUACUGUCAACACACUCUGACAACAAGUGAACACUCACACAGUAAUAUCAACACGUACUGAUGAGAUAUUGAUACAGUCUUACUCAUAAUGGGACAGCUUGGCCCAAAUCGGGGGGCGUUAGUGUCAGGGGGGGGAAUUAAUAGCUUUGUUUUGUAUUUUCCUUCCAUGAUCUGACAGUUAUGAUUUGAGAGUGGUUUCUGGUCUUAAAUACUGGCUAUUUUUCAGGGAGGUCUGUGGGAUAGAGGGAGAGGAAUGGGGUGAGAGCGAUGGAGACAGGGUGAGAAGGAAAGAGAAUAAAAUGAGUAGGAGAGAGGGAGCAUAAAAAAAAAAGAGAGGUAGGGAGGCAGAAAAAGAGAUUGAGAUAUGGGCUCGCAGAGGCUUACGGGUGUCUUUGUGAGAGCAGGGUUUAUUUUAUUUCCGGUCAUGGUGGCCACGUGUGGAGUUUUCACAG